rnacentral:lncRNA from 10 species
GCAGCACUCUGCAACAGGGACUGAGCAAGAGGGAGGACGCAGAUUCUCCACGGAACUCUUCGCAGCAUUUAGUGCAGGCCCAGAUGAUUCAUGGUAAACUUUCCAGGAUAUUCUCUUAAUUCUGUGUUGUCCAACUAAGGAGUACAGGGGAUCUGCAAAGUUGUAAAAUCAAGGUGGUAAAGAUUCUUGGAGCUUCUAAUAUAUUCAAAAGUUUGAGCUAUGUGUCAGUCCCUGGGGAUCAAGUGAAGGAGGUACAGCUUCUUCAGUCACAGACUGUCUUGUCAUGUGGAUACAGGAAAGACCUAACAAGAAAAAGGCAUAGCCAAAAUGCAAAACCACCUACCUACACAGAGAACAACAGCAUAGUCUGAUCUGUUUCCACCAGCCAGCAAAAGUGAACCUGGAUUUCAGAAUAAAAGGCUGGAAAAUAUUACUUAUGAAGUUAAGCAUUAUUUUUGCUUUAAAUUGAAGCUGAAAC